rnacentral:rRNA from 1 species
UACAGAGGUGCCGAGCGUUAGGCGGAAUCACUGGGCUUAAAGCGUGUGUAGGCGGAUGCCUAAGUACCUUGUGAAAUCCCCCGGCUUAACCGGGGAACUGCUUGGUAUACUGGGUGUCUUGAGCCACUUAGGGGCGACCGGAACAAACGGUGGAGCGGUGAAAUGCGUAGAUAUCGUUUGGAACGCCAAUGGUGAAAACAGGUCGCUGGGAGUGUGCUGACGCUGAGACACGAAAGCCAGGGGAGCGAACAGGG